rnacentral:tRNA from 1 species
GGGGCCGUAGUUCAGACGGUGUAGAACGCUGGCCUGUCACGUCAGAGGUCGCGGGUUCAAGUCCCGUCGGCCCCGCCA